UGCCAACCGGGUGUCUGCACUAAGUUCGGCAUCAAUAUGGUGAUCUCCUGGGAGCAGGGGGCCACCAGGUUGCCUAAGGAUGAGUGAACUGGCCCAGAUCAGAAAGGGAGAAGGUCAGAACUUCUGCACUGACCAGUAGUGGGACUGUGCCUGGGCA
rnacentral:sRNA from 1 species